GGCGGGAACCUGGCGGGACCAUCCGCUAAGCCUGAAUACUCCUCAUCGUACCGAUAGUGAACAAGUACCGUGAGGGAAAGGUGAAAAGCACCCCGGAAGGGGAGUGAAAUAGAACCUGAAACCGCGAUUGCCUACAAGCACUGGGAGCACGAUGUCGCAAGACCGUGUGACCGGGUACCUUUUGCAUAAUGGGCCUGCGAGUUGCGUUUUCGUGGCGAGGUUUAAGCCGACGAGGUGGAGCCGAAGCGAAAAGCGAGUUCGAAUAGAGCGGAAGUCGCGGGACGCGAGACCCGAAGCCCGACGAUCUAUCCAUGGCCAGGUUGAAGCGCGAGUAACAUUGCGUGGAGGACCGAACCCACCGCAGUUGAAAAUGCGGGGGAUGAGCUGUGGAUCGGAGUGAAAAGGCUAAAUCAAAGUCGGGGGUAUAGGCUGGUUCUCCCCGGAAAAUAUAAUUGAGGUAUAGCCUCGGAUGAAUCCCUGCGGGGGUAGAGCACUGAAUGGGCUAGGGG
rnacentral:rRNA from 1 species